GCACAAGCGGUGGAUGAUGUGGUUUAAUUCGAUGCAACGCGAAAACCUUACCACCUUGACAUGUACGGAAUCCUUUAGAGAUAGAGGAGUGCUCGAAAGAGAGCCGUAACACAGGUGCUGCAUGGCUGUCGUCAGCUCGUGUCGUGAGAUGUUGGGUUAAGUCCCGCAACGAGCGCAACCCUUGUCAUUAGUUGCUACAUUCAGUUGGGCACUCUAAUGAGACUGCCGGUGACAAACCGGAGGAAGGUGGGGAUGACGUCAAGUCCUCAUGGCCCUUAUAGGUGGGGCUACACACGUCAUACAAUGGAUGGUACAAAGGGUCGCCAACCCGCGAGGGGGAGCCAAUCCCAUAAAGCCAUUCGUAGUCCGGAUCGCAGUCUGCAACUCGACUGCGUGAAGUCGGAAUCGCUAGUAAUCGUGGAUCAGAAUGUCACGGUGAAUACGUUCCCGGGUCUU
rnacentral:rRNA from 1 species